CUCUAGUUUUGCGUCUCUGCACGUUCUUUUGGCACUUGCACUCGAGCAGAGGAGACUGCGUUAUCCACUUGAGUGUAAAAGAGAGCUGUGCUGCAUCCACGGUGGUCACAGGGCCAGAGGCAGUAAAAUCCACUAAAACGGUCAGGUUUUGGUAAAGAGUCGGGAACAUUGUACAGAGAUCCUUCCCACGGGGUGAUACGGAUCCACAAGUUCCAGACGUUCCAUCAGAAGAUUCAUUCCCAGUCCGGGUGGCUGGGUGGCGAGCCAACCGUGUCGUGACUCUGACUUUAGACGAAUUGUCAGGAUCAUCUUCUUCAUUUUCAUCGUGGUAGGACAAACACUAACACAAGCUGAAAAAAGGGCCCCAACGGUGAAAACUGGACUCUUGUCAACAAAGGCAAGUCGAACCGAGGAUGAACUGAGCUCAAAGAAACUGAAAAAGGUUUUCUUUAUUACGUGCGCACUUUAUUAUUUUAGUUUGUUAUUUUUCAUGAACGUGUUUUUUUUUAAUCUAUGUUCCAGUCCUGUGCAUUUAAUACAGGUUAUGUAAACUGUCAUUCCGGUGUGGUAUUCAUUUUAUUGGUAUUCAAUUCUCAGGCUCUUAACAAUUUAGCAUCUUCUGAUUCUGGUCCAAAUCCGUAUUAAUGAUAACCUCUAAGACUACUUUUGACUACUAAACCUAUGUACAUUACUACUACUACCUCAUAAUAAGGGUUACACACGAGUUAAUUAAAUUAACAGGCACCUAACUGGACUUCCGGUGGGCUUAGACCAAAACAGAGAAACGAGCCAACAACCGAGAACGAGGAGGAGGCUAGUAUUAGCUCAAACUGGCAUAGCCGCCGUGCUCGCUUUCUCGCCUUUUCAUUUAGCCCAGUUAUUUCCAAGACUCAACAUUAAACUGUAUGGAUGCUACUAUAGACGGAUAACGUGGGUUUGUUUACACAUCGGGUUAAUCAGCUGAUGUCUUUUGAAGAUAAGUAUGUAUCAUAACUGUAACUCCUCUAACAUAAAAAUAAUGAGUUGGAAUGUCAGGGGUCUUCGGAAAAUUACAAAGUUAAUACAAGUUAUGAGUAGGAUUAGACAUCUCAAAUUUAAAAUCAUAUUUUUGCAGGAAACCCACCUGACAACUGCAGACUUAAAGCGUGUACAGAGCAGAUGGCCUGGCCAAGUAAUAUAUGCAUGUUAUAAUAAUUAUGCAAGGGGAGUGCUUAUUCUUAUUCACCGGACAAUACAAUUGCAGAUUGUUAAAACUAUCUCAGGUGGAAGAUAUGUUAUCGUCCAAUGCAAUAUCCUAUCAAUGACAUGGAACCUAGUUAGUAUUUAUGGUCCCAAUAAGGAUAACCCCAGUUUCUAUAGGAAUAUAUUUCUUGACUUGGCUACCAUGAAGGGAUAUUUUAUUUUAGGAGGGGACUUCAAUUGUGCUUUAAAUCCAACAAUAGAUUGUUCAACGGGCUGUGACAUGGGUAAAACACAAACUAGAGAACUACUGAAACAGUUUAUAGAGGAUCUUAAUCUAGUUGACGUCUGGAGAGAACGGAAUCCUGAUAAAAAUCAUUACUUCUGUUAUACAAGUACACACAAAUCACCCAUGAUGCACUGGGCUGAGCGGCUGCCUGUGGAGGCUCGAUGCUGGAGGAUUUGGCGUCACCUUUCAAUAUAGACUAUUUCAUUAUUUCCAGGGAACUCUUACCCAACGUUAGCGAAUGCUGGUAUGAUGGUAUUGUGAUAAGUGACCAUGCUGCUGUAUCACUCAAAAUCCAAAUCAACAAAAUUGUCCAUAGCCCACCUAAUUGGAGAUUCCAGGCGAUAUAAACAUUCUAAGCUUUUGUUGACACUAUUGACUCUAAAAUUGACAGCUUCUUUGCACUAAAUACUGAUGAAACUAGUGCUUGUACCAGAUGGGAAGCAUUUAAGGCGUUCAUCAGGGGAGAGAUUAUUAGUUACAUCAGCUAUAAAGCAAAACACUAUAAAUUGGAAAUGGUACAUUUGGAAAAUCAAAUGAAAACGUUGGAAAAUUACCUGUAUGUAAAAGAUGAUGAUUUAAAACAAAAGGAAUUGCUUAUAUUUAGAGCUAAAUAUAAUAAAAUGUCCACAGAUGAAAGUGCCAAAAGUUUAAUGUGGUUGAAGCAAGCCUACCAUGAUCAAGGAGAGAAUGCUGGAAAACUUUUAGCUUGGAGAAUCAAAAAACAACAAACUGACCGAGCAAUAAAUAGUACAUAAAUAGGACACCGCAAGGGGAAUUUAACGAUAGACCCGCUGGAAAUAAAUACAUGCUUCAAAGAGUUUUAUGAAUCCUUAUAUAGAUCAGAAUGCAACCAAGACUCAGAUGCGCAGGAAACAUUUCUUCAUCAGCUUCAGUUUGAGUUACUAUGUGACAACAUAAAAAAUGAAUUGGAUAGGAAUAUAACAGCCGAGGAGUUUUCAGAGGCAAUCCAAAAUAUGAAUAGUGGUAAGGCACCUGGGAAUUUUAUAAAACAUUUAAAACUAAAUGAGUAGAGCCACUUCUAAAUAUGUUUAAAGAAUGCUUCCUGGAAGGAACUCUUCCACCCACUAUGAGAUUAGCUGUAAUAACCCUCAUCCAAAAACCAGGCAAACCAUCCACAGAGUGCUCGUUGUUUAGGCCAAUCAGUCUGAUGUGUAGUGAUACUAAAAUACUAUGUAAAAUAUGGCGUUAUAUUACUGUCACUAGUCAAGAGCGCAUUAUUUCAAUUUGAGAGCAUUUCUCACUGAUAUUACGCUCAAAA